UACGAAGGGGGCUAGCGUUGCUCGGAUUUACUGGGCGUAAAGGGCGCGUAGGCGGACAGUUUAGUCAGAGGUGAAAGCCCAGGGCUCAACCUUGGAAUUGCCUUUGAUACUGGCUGUCUUGAGUACGGGAGAGGUGAGUGGAACUCCGAGUGUAGAGGUGAAAUUCGUAGAUAUUCGCAAGAACACCAGUGGCGAAGGCGGCUCACUGGCCCGGUACUGACGCUGAGGUGACGAAAGGCGUGGGGAGCAAACAGG
rnacentral:rRNA from 1 species